rnacentral:misc_RNA from 1 species
AACGCAUAUUGCACCUUAGAGUUAUUCUCCAAGGUAUACUUGUUUGAGCGUCGUUUAACAUAUAAAGCUUUGCUUUUUGUUAGAUUUUGGUUUUCAAUCUCAUAAACCAAUUUCUCAAAUAUAGUGGCAUUAUUUAAUUGGCUAGUAUACAGUGAAAAUGUAUAAUUGGUUAACCAAAAUACUUUUGCCAAACGAAAUAAAUUCUUUUUGUUCGACCUCAAAUCAAGUAAGAUUACCCGCUGAACUUAA